GAGUUUGAUCCUGGCUCAGGAUGAACGCUGGCGGCGUGCUUAACACAUGCAAGUCGAACGGGGAUGCCAUUUUCGAGGCGGUUAGUUUACUAAGCGCCAAGAUGCUGGCAUCUUAGUGGCGGACGGGUGAGUAACGCGUGGGUAACCUGCCUUAUACAGGGGGAUAACACUUAGAAAUAGGUGCUAAUACCGCAUAAGCGCACGGGGCUGCAUGGCCCAGUGUGAAAAACUCCGGUGGUAUAAGAUGGACCCGCGUCUGAUUAGCUUGUUGGCGGGGUAACGGCCCACCAAGGCGACGAUCAAUAGCCGGCCUGAGAGGGUGGACGGCCACAUUGGGACUGAGACACGGCCCAAACUCCUACGGGAGGCAGCAGUGGGGAAUAUUGGACAAUGGGGGGAACCCUGAUCCAGCGACGCCGCGUGAGUGAAGAAGUAUUUCGGUAUGUAAAGCUCUAUCAGCAGGGAAGAAAGAAAUGACGGUACCUGACUAAGAAGCCCCGGCUAACUACGUGCCAGCAGCCGCGGUAAUACGUAGGGGGCAAGCGUUAUCCGGAUUUACUGGGUGUAAAGGGAGCGUAGACGGUUAUGCAAGUCUGGAGUGAAAGGCGGGGGCCCAACCCCCGGACUGCUUUGGAAACUGUGU
rnacentral:rRNA from 1 species